ACAUUUCGUCAAGCCAAAACCAAUUGCAAGAAGUUACAACCCCACCAAAGUGUACAAUACUAACCCAGUAUACAACAACAAAGGAUAUUGUAGCAAUUAUGACAGUUGCCGUGCUGGGUACUACUAUUAUAGCAAAAGCGCCUAUAAUUGCAAUUCUUAUAAAGGAUGUUGUAUCCCACGUAACCCACACGGUCAAGGAUUUUGCGCUGAGUAUGGCAGUUGUCCUGCAGAUUAUUAUUUCUGUAACAACAAAGGCUACUAUUACUAUGACACCUCACGCUACGUAGAUUGUCAUGGUUACAAAGGAUGUUGUCUUCCUAAUAAAGGGUAUUGAAUUUAAUUCUUC